AAUCUUCCGCAAUGGACGCAAGCCUGACGGAGCAACGCGGCGUGAGUGAUGAAGGUUUCCGGAUCGUAAAACUCUGUUGUUGGGGAGGAACAAGUAUCGGAGUUACGGCCGGUACCUUGCCGGUACCUUACGAGAAAGCCACGGCUACUUACUGCCCAGCAGCCCCGGUAAUACGUCGGUGGCAAGCGUUGUCCGGAUUUAUUGGGCGUAAAGCAGGCGCAGGCGGUCUUUUAAAUCUGAUGUGAAAUCUUACAGCUUAACUGUAAGCGGUCAUUGGAAACAAGGAGACUUGAGUGCAGAAGAGGAGAGUGGAAUUACAUGUGUAGCGGUGAAAUGCGUAGAGAUAUGGAGGAACAACAGUGGCGAAGGCGACUCUCUGGUCUGUAACUGACGCUGAGGCGCGAAAGCGUGGGGAGCAAACAG
rnacentral:rRNA from 1 species